GACGAACGCUGGCGGCGUGCCUAAUACAUGCAAGUCGAACGCAUUUUCUUUCACCGUAGCUUGCUUCACCGAAAGAAAAUGAGUGGCGUACGGGUGAGUAACACGUGGGUUACCUGCCCAUCAGCGGUGGAUAACACUUGGUAACACCUGCUAAUACCGCAUAAUUCCAUUUACCGCUUUGUAAAUGGAUGUUACGCCCUUUUGCGUCACUGAUGCAUGGUCCCGCGUUGGAUUUGGUAGUAGGUGGGGUAACGGCCUUCCAAUGCGGCGAUACAUAGCCGACCUGGAAGGGGGAUAGGCAACAAUGGGAAGGAGACAAGGCCAAAAAGACUAAGGGAGGGAGCAGUAGGGAAUCUUCGGAAAGGGACGAAAGUCUGACCGAGCAACGCCGGGGGAGUGAAGAAGGGUUUCGGAUCGUAAAACUCUGUUGGUAGAGAAGAAAAAGGAGGAGAGUGGAAAGUUCAUCCAGUGACGGUAACUAACCAGAAAGCGACGGCUAACUACGUG
rnacentral:rRNA from 1 species